GCUCCUCCUCCUGGCCCACAG
rnacentral:miRNA from 1 species